rnacentral:tRNA from 1 species
CCCCGAGUAGCUCAGCUGGAAGAGCGUCUGACUGUAAUUGCGAUUUCCGUCAUCAGAAGGUCACCUGUUCGAGCCAGGUCUUGGGGA